GACGAACGCUGGCGGCGUGCUUAACACAUGCAAGUCGAACGGUAAGGCCCUUCGGGUACACGAGUGGCGAACGGGUGAGUAACACGUGGUGAUCUGCCCUGCACUUCGGGAUAAGCCUGGGAAACUGGGUCUAAUACCGGAUAGGACUCCUGGCUUCAUGGUUGGGGUGUAAAGCUUUUGCGGUGUGGGAUGGGCCCGCGGCCUAUCAGCUUGUUGGUGGGGUAAUGGCCUACCAAAGGCGACGACGGGUAGCCGGCCUGAGAGGGUGACCGGCCACACUGGGACUGAGAUACGGCCCAGACUCCUACGGGAGGCAGCAGUGGGGAAUAUUGCACAAUGGGCGCAAGCCUGAUGCAGCGACGCCGCG
rnacentral:rRNA from 1 species